GUUCUGGAGGCUGGAAGUUCUAAGGUCAAGGAGCUGCAUCUGCUGAGGACCUUUUUUUCUGUCUUGUACCAUAACAGAAGGCAUCACAGGGACCUGGACCUUUCAAGUGCUCACUGCCCUGGGGCUACUCCCACGACUUCAAGCAGAAUAUUUUUAGUGCAAACCUUCACUUGGACCUUAUGCAUUGAACAUUGCCCUAUGGAUAUGAUAGAUGGAAAUUGGAAAACACAAGCUG